rnacentral:tRNA from 1 species
GGUCCCGUAGCUCAGCAGGAUAGAGCGUCGGUUUCCUAAACCGCAGGCCGGAGGUUCGAAUCCUCUCGGGAUCACCA